rnacentral:rRNA from 1 species
GACGUAGGGCGCGAGCGUUGUCCGGAUUUAUUGGGCGUAAAGAGCUCGUAGGCGGCUCAUUGCGUCAACCGUGAAAACCUGCAGCUUAACUGUGGGCUUGCGGUCGAUACGGGCAUCACUGGAGUUCGGCAGGGGAGACUGGAAUUCCUGGUGUAGCGGUGAAAGUGCGCAGAUAUCAGGAGGAACACCGAGUGGCGAAGGCAGGUCUCUGGGCCGAUACUGA